rnacentral:pre_miRNA from 1 species
ACACUUGUAGAUUUGACUCAAACCUGUGGUCCGUAAAGGUGAGCAAAUCUUCAGGUGUGC